rnacentral:rRNA from 1 species
UACGAAGGGGGCUAGCAUUGCUCGGAAUGACUGGGCGUAAAGGGCGCGUAGGCGGCUUGCACAGUCAGGCGUGAAAUUCCUGGGCUCAACCUGGGGACUGCGCUUGAGACGUGUGGGCUUGAGUGGGGAAGAGGGUCGUGGAAUUCCCAGUGUAGAGGUGAAAUUCGUAGAUAUUGGGAAGAACACCGGUGGCGAAGGCGGCGACCUGGUCCUUGACUGACGCUGAGGCGCGAAAGCGUGGGGAGCGAACAGG